UUGUGAACUUUCUGCGUAUUACCGCACCGCCAGUGCAAUCGUCGGCAAGUAGAACUUGCUAAAGUUAUUUGUGCUUGCUCAGUAAAAAUAUUUAGCCGAAGAAAAUGCGAUUUCCGAGAGGAGAGGAUAUAGACUACACAGGUGCUGCAAAACAAGGUAAUGAUCCCAAGGUGACUUACAUGCCAUGGAAGAUUCAUGAGAAAUGUGUGUUUAUCAGAAUAUAAAGCACGGGAACAGUAGCUGCCUUGGCCUCUACAGAUGUCGGCAACAUAUUUUCCUAAACAUGCAUAACAGGUGCAAAUCAUUCCUCCGGACACCGCGCGUUGAUUGUUCCAGAUACAGGGAUAUUGCACAGAAAUGCCUCUGAUGAAAUUUCACGCUCCUUUGAAGACACUGGAAUAUUGCAAGUUAAUAAAGUCAUCAAGUCUGUAAA
rnacentral:lncRNA from 1 species